UACGGGGGGGGCAAGCGUUGUUCGGAAUUACUGGGCGUAAAGGGCUCGUAGGUGGCCAACUAAGUCGGACGUGAAAUCCCUCAGCUUAACUGGGGAACUGCGUCCGAUACUGGAUGGCUUGAGUUUGGGAGAGGGAUGCGGAAUUCCAGGUGUAGCGGUGAAAUGCGUAGAUAUCUGGAGGAACACCGGUGGCGAAGGCGGCAUCCUGGACCAACACUGACACUGAGGUGCGAAAGCCAGGGGAGCAAACGGG
rnacentral:rRNA from 1 species